UCCUCCUCUCAGCUGCUCUCUCUUUCUUUCUCGUUCACUUUUAUCCCCACUUUUCCCUUGGUUUUUUUUUUUUCCCCCCCUCCUCUCCAUUCACUUUUCUUUUCCUUGGCCUGUCAAUCUCUUGGAAGCACAGAUAAGCUCUCAGACUUUUGACCUAGCCCGUAUCUUGAGAGACAAAACGUUCAAUCUUCAAUAGUCGACGAAUUGUUCCUACCCUCACUAUGCAGAAAAAAAAAAUUCAUCAGUAGACAGUUUUGGAUGAACUCCUAGUGUAAGUAACGAACCAUAGCCGCAUUCAAAGACCAACACAGUCUAUCUGUUCUGGGCAAACUGUGGUUGCAGACUGAGUAACUUCCUUCAGUCUGUCUUCAAGUUUAAAGAUCCCUCCGUCAUCCCUAUGGGAUUCUGAGAACAACUGAAAUCAGGUGGCCUUUGGGGGAAGAAAGGAAGACUGCGCAGUCUCUUUGUGCCACUGUGGGGAGAGUAGAAGACACAGGGCUCUGCUGAUGUCACCACCUGAGGUCUAUCUACCAUUGCUGCUGAAGAUGGUGGCCUCCAAUAGUGCCAUGGCUAGGGCUCUGGCUGUGGAACAGCGCUAUGUCCUUACACGGCUUGGUCCUGGGACCCUGACUAGGAAUGAUGAGGGAAUGAAGAAACGCUACGGACACACAGACACAGGUAUAGAAAAACUGGGGUCAGGUGGGCUGUGCUGAUGGAGGAGCCACAACAGGACAGAAGUUCAGUGCGUCUAUUAUAUACAGUGAACAGGGAGGAGGGGUACUGUAGACAGCUAAGCAAGGAGGCAGAGUUAUACAUACAGAAAAGCAGGGAGGCAUUUGAGCAAGGAGCAGGGUUAUACACAGAAAAACAAGGAGGCAGGGUUAUUACAUACAACUGAACAAGGAGCAGUCUCUGCAGUGGAGAAGUCUUCAGCCCAUCAACAUCUGGAAGAAAAAGCUGCACUGGACAUUUUCUACACACACUGUCAACAUUCACACUCGGACCAGAGGAAGGCUUUGCUGUCUCUCUAACCUCACCCAGGGAAGGCUUUGCCAAUCUCGUGGGUCUGAGGCACUGGGGUCCUUGAUGUGGCGUGCCAAACACUACACAUUCACUCAGGACUUCACUCACUCCCCAGAGAACCAGAGUUGGCAUGGUGAGUGAUUUCACCACUCGGCUGAUGCAGGUGGAUUGUAUAUAGUCCUGGCUGUAGUACAGCAGAUGUUGAAGGGUGUGUGUGUGUGUGUGUGUGUGUGUGUGUGUGUGUGUGUGUGUGUUGUUCUGCAUGGUGUUUGAGUACAGAGGUCAAAAGAGGAUGUCAGAUGUCCUCUCUCUCACUCUCAGCCUUAAUCCAUUGAGACAGGUCUGUCACGGUACCUGGAGCUAGGGUGGUAGCCAACAAGCCCCAGUGAUCCCUAUGUCAUGUCUCUGUCCCCCAAAGUGGAUUCAAACUCAGCUCCUCAUGCUUUUCCACUGAGACAUCACCCUGGACCCAAUAUAUUGAAGUUUUAAUCUGAUUUUUCAGCUUUGUUUAUAUGAUCUGGAGUCUAAGUCAAUUAUGACUCACGUGUCUGCCUUUUAUCCUUUAAAUUUUUGUUUUCCCCCUUCCAUACUCCCUAUUUGGGGGUGGGGAGGGUUGUUCUCCUCUCUUGAUUCUUUUUUUUUUUUUAUUUAAUGCCAAAUGCUGUUUAUUGAAGGAGGGAAGAGGUCUUAAAUACAGGCUUACAGCACAAUGGGAGAACCCCGGAGGGCAGAGGUUCACUACCGAUGUUUUAUAAUCUUGCAUCUAAGCUGUUAACGCCCAAUAUGCAGGAUACACAGACAAGGAACUUCCCCUAAGCAUUCAGGAGGGUGGAACUCGGGAGGGAAUUAGCAUAGGGAGGAUAUCAAGGUCUCUCUUGAUUCUUUUAUUGUAAUUUUCAUGGCGUUUUUAAGAACAACUGGAAAUUGGGUCAGUAUAGUCGACACUCUAUCUUAAACAGAAUCUGCAGAAUCUUCUGUAGAUCUGUAGAUGGCACCCAGGCCUGUUAUGGGAACCAAGUGCUCCACCACAGAACUCCACACCCAGCCCUGUGUAUUCUCCUGUGUAUCUAUGCUCAUGGUCCCUUCCUCCUUCCCAAUAUUACUUACUUCUGUUUCUAGCUUUUCUCCCCCUUUAAAGUCAGACUAUGAAUCCGAGUCUUGUCUCUUUUAUUUUUGUUGGAAUUUUAAAGCAGCCGUUAUUGAGGUCACAUUUGGUUUGUAUUUCAUUAGUUUCAUUUCAUUAUUAUGAAAUUUCCCCUCCUACUCUCUGGGUAAUUAUUGUCUUCCUUGUUUUCUUUCUACAAGUGAAAGAAAACUCAUUUCUUUUGUUUUCAAUUGUCUUUAUUUUUUAAAACUUAACAAGACUUUUCCCCCCUGGGUUUUCUUUUGGGUGUACUCAAGAACUUUGAACCUCCAAUACUCUAAUUGGCAUUACUUCAGGGAUUAUUAUUUCCUUUGUGUUUCUUCUUUAGAAAAUAAUUAUUUAUGCUGGGCAUGGUGACACAUGCCUUUUGUCCCAGCACUCAGGAGGCAGGGGCAGGCAGAUCUCUGAGUUCAAAGCCAGCCUGGUCUACAGAGUGAGUUUCAGGGAAAUCAGGGCUACAGAGAGAAACCCUGUCUUGAAAAGCAAAACAAAAAGAAGGAGAAGAGGAAGGAGGAGGAGGAGGAGGAGGAGGGGGAGGAAGAAGAAGAAGAAGAAGAAGAAGAAGAAGAAGAAGAAGAAGAAGAAGAAGAAGAAGAAAGUUAUUUGUGAGAUUUGAAUUUCUGACUGCCAUUAGAAUUAUGGGUAGGCGGCAAGAGGAUAAGGAUGGAGCAGGGUGAAACUACAUUUUGUAUUAAUUUCUCAGUUAUUGCGUCAUGGUAAGGAAACAGAAUAACUCCUACAUUUUUUAAUUCACUUAGAUGUCCCUAUGGCUGAGUUCAGUGGCUUUGGUAAUAGCUUCAUGCAUAUUUGAAGAGAAUGAUAGUCUCGAGGGGUUCACUGUGUUAUGUAGACAAUAAAGGGAAGAACUUCCACUGAAGCGUUGAAGCAAGGGCUUGUGCUUAGUGACUGGGUCAUGCACCCCCACUAUUUGGGCUUUGGAAAGUCUUUCUCAUAGGGGGCUACCCUGUUCACUGUGGAAUGCUUAGUAGCAUCCUUUGUCUCUAACCUACUGGAUGUCAGUGACAUCUCUACCAGUUCUUUCAUCCAGAAAUAGCUUCAGAUGUUGCUAAUAGUCCUCUGGGUACAGAAUCACCACAACUUGGGAACCAGAACUGCUCUAAAUUUCAUAUCUACGAAUUACAUUUAAUCCACAUCAUAAAUAUAUAUUAUACAUCUUGAUUUUACAAAUAACAAUCUAUAAGCAGAACAAAUAUCCAUAAACAGAAGUCCGAGGAAGUUAAAUGUAAUCUAAGCAUCAUUUAUAAUUUCAAACAGAACCCAAAACAAACAAAAAUCAAAGCCAGAGAGCUGGGGAAAUGAUUCAGUGGGCAAGAAGACUUGCUGUGCAAGCAUGGCGACCUGAAUUCGAAUCCCAAGGAUACACAUAGAUAGCCUGGUGUGACUGAAUACAUGUCUGUAAGCCCAGAGCUGUAGGAGAGAGAGACAGGAUUGCUAGGGCCUGCUCCCUGCCAGGCUGGCUUCAAGUUCAGUGAGAGACCCUGUCUCAAGAGAGUGAGGAAGAGUGUUAUAGAGCAGGGCACCCAGUGUCCUCUUCUGGCCUCCACGUGUGCACAUGCAUCAUGAGCACACACAUAAACACACAAAGAACUCAGCGUCAACUUACGUGCCCUUCAGCACAUAACGGAACACAAACACAAAGAAAUGUGGAACAAAUUAACUGCUUGACUUAUUUGGGAUGAUUAGCUCUCAGAACUAACGCUGAGAGAAAACUGAAGGUGCAGACAUCUUUUAGCUAAACAGACUAGUCGGCAUCACUUUUCCCAUUUCUCUGUGGAUUCUAAUUAGCUUUCCUUGUCAUUUAUUUUCCCACUUCUGGAUCUGUCCCUGUGACUGUGAGGGCCAUGGCUUUGACUCUCUCUCUCUCUCUCUCUCUCUCUCUCUCUCUCUCUCUCUCUCUCUCUCUCUCUCUCUCUCUCAAGAAGCUGGUUUUCCUCAAGUGGCAAUGGCUGGCUCUCUUCCUCCUGUUCACAUUUAUGUGCAAGAAAGAAGCAGGAUGUUGGGGGGGGGGGACCUGGUGACUGACAACUGUCAGGACAGGACAGAGCAGGACUGCAGAUAGUAGACACCUUUCUCCCAGCCUGGCACUGUUGGGCAUUGCCAGGCAGCUGGGAAUGAUGCCAGAACUGACCUUGGUUGGAUGGACCUCAAGGGUGCUGCCAGAGCCCUACUCCCCCACUCCCUACAUCUCUGUGGGGUCCUUUAACGUUGGCAUCCCCUUUCCUUUGUCUUAGGGGAUCCCAGGACCUUUCUGCCUGGACUUUCAUUUCUGUGAGGUUUGGAGAAAGCAGCAGGAAAUCAAGGCACACAGCUGAAUCAGUUGCCACUCAAGGGUUUGUCUACAGCUUCCAGAUAUUGCUGGUGUUUCCCCUUCUUUCUUGUCCAUGCUUGUAAGUUCAUGUGUGUGUAAAAGUACACACUCAUCCCUCCAGAGUUCAGGGGAUUGGUUACAGGACCCCCCUAGAUACCCAAACCCAGGAAUGCUUAAGCCCUUUUAUAAAAUGGCAUACAAGUUCGUGUGUGUGUGUGUGUGUGUGUGUGUGUGUGUGUGUGUGUGCGCAUUUAGUCAUGUACAUCCUUCUGUAGACUGUAAGUUAUUUCUAGACUCCUUAUAAUAUAAUGCACUUGCUGUGUAACUGAUUGUUGUAGUACACUGUUUAGAAAAUAAUGACAAUAGAAAACGAGGCCUGGAGGGUUGUCCAGAGCCCCUGGUCCAGGUCACUCCCUGUCUUGGAUGGCUUCUUCCAGUCUUCAUCUAUGGUAAGUACAUGUUUGCUUAGGAAGGUUAAAAUCCACAUGCAUGUGAGUGAUCCUAACAACCUCACUGCCCUUUCACAACGGCUGCCUGGAUGGUUUUAUUUAUCAGCCAGAUUUAUAAGCCAUUGGCACAGACAACAGAGCUGGGAUUUAGUUCUUUUCAGCAUCUUGUCUGUGAUUUUUAGAGGUGUCACCUCAACUGCUUGCAUCUUAUCUUCCCCGUUAUUGAAAUGAAGGUGAGAGUCUCUUCUACAGUCGUGUUGGGAAUGUUAGAAGAGACAUUCUGGGUCCAAGAAGGGGAAAUCUCCCUUGUGGAAGGUGGUGUAACUGCUCUAAGGACCACCAGGUGGCGCUAUUGGCAUCCUUGACUAAGCACAGCCAUGCUCAAAGGAGCAGACAGCUGCAGCUUCUGCCUCCUUUCUGUUCUGUUUUAAAAUGAUGACUCCCCCAGGGUGACAGAAUCCAAGUCUUUGGUGUCAAAGCCAUGCACACUUUUAAAACUAUCAAAUAAUAACUGAGUAUUUACAGGGUACAGCCUGACACUUUGAUACAUGUUUACAAUGGGGAAUGAUUAAAGCAGGAUAAUUAUGAAAUCCAUCACUUCACAUGCUUCUCAUUUUUUAAAUUGAGAACACUUGAAAUCUGUUCCUUUAGCAAUUUUGAAAUUUGUGAUGUGUUAUUAUUUAUCCUCGUCAUGAUUUUGUGCAACAGAGCAUGCAUA